AGUACAGUCAACAGAAUACAAAGCGAUAGAAGGAUGAUGUCAAUGACCCAGGUGGAUGGAUUCAUCCUGAUGGGUGGUGGGGAUGGAGAAUGCAAGGGAGAAGACAAAUAGACAAGUCAAGGAUGCAGCAGAAUGAAAAUGAAGGACUCUCUGAUGGUCUGUCUUUCUUGGAACAGAAAAAGGGAGAGGCUGUGAGGUGUGAAUGAUUACUAUCCUCAUUCUGCAAAUGAGACAGAAGCUCAGAGAGAUGAAAACUCUGGCCUGGGACAAGAUGGCAUGACCAGGAAUGGCAGAGUCAGUCCAGGCUAUGGCUCCCUUUUACUUCUGCUCUUUGACUUCAAACUUUCUUGAGGAGUUGAGCACAUCCAAAGUCACAAUGCCUUCCUGAGGGCAGUCUGCCUCCAAUGAGUAGUGAAUGCAGAGGAGUCAAGCCAGCCUCUUUGCCCCAAGUCAGGAUUACUCUGCAGGUCCAUCCAAGCUCCAGAGCUCCACCUGGGAUUAGCUGAGACCUUUGCUUCAACACGCCAACUUCUUCCCCUGGCCAAUUCUGUUCCUUCAUGUCUGUCAAGGUAUUUAUUCCAAGAAUGCUCCCCAGUUCCGAUAUGCUUAUGUCCAUCUCCAAGUCUGCUUCUCGGGAAACCCAGCCUGCAGCAGAUGGUUCUCAGAGUAGCCAAGAAUGUAAAUAUUAGUGGGAAAAUUUUAAGCUGCAUUUUGAGCUGGCAAUAAGAACGCCAUCAUUGGUGGUAGAUGGAAUAGAGAUGGCUCCUGGCACGAAAUAGCAGUUCAGUUGUGAAAAUUGUCAUCAUGGUGAACUGGAAAGGUAUAUACAUUUAAGGAAUCUUGUGGUGGGUCAGGUGUUUGGGUGAUAUGGAGUCAUAAAGAGAAUGAAGUUGGAUGGGUAUGUCUGAGAGUUAGUUAUUGAUGCUUUUGAGAAAGAUAAUGAAAGGCUGAGAGUAAAUAUUUAGCAGCAUAGAAAGAAAUUCUCAUCUCCUGAGAUCUGGAAUAGAAAGAACUGAGGAUCAGGCCCAGGAUUUAAUUAUAAGAGAAGUAGAGCUUCUAGACCCAGACGGGGCUAUUCCACCAAGGUUGAGUCCCAACCGGGAAGAAAUGGAACCCUGUGUUAUGGCAGAAGCACAUCUGGGUUAAUGCGCUUCAAAAUCUUGAGUGUCCAGAUUCCCCUGAAUUCUUCAGGCUGGCAGAAGUAGCCCCCAACUCCUUCUUAGAGGCCAGUGCUUCCCCCUUGCUUGUAGACAAUGUAGAGACCAUUACGCUGCAAGUGAACACAUGACCUCCCUCUUUACCCACCUUUUUGCCACGAGACAAAAAAAGAUAGAAUUAAAUCAAAACAUAUCCUUGCCAGGAAAGUACUGAGCCUAUUCAGGAAAGAAAGAAACUAGAUUUCAGAGAAGCUGUAGGACCUAACCCACAAGUACAGAAGCUGGGAGAGUAUGUGUGGGCCUGGACUCUGAGAGUGCUGGAUCAAGGGGAGACUGACCAUACAACUGGAUGAGGGAGAGUUUAUAGGUGUGGCAGCAAACUCCCCGCCUAGGACCCUGGGAGGCAGUGUUAGCACACCUCCAGGUGACUCUUAGAAGGUUGGAGAGGGCUUUAAGCCGCAGAAGUGAAUUGGAAAUACCAGAGUCACUAUGGAAGACAUUGAAAGGAGAGACUGAAUGGCUCAGAGAACUCUGUAUACCAGAAUGAAUAAACUGUGUAAGACUGGUAAAUCCACCAGAAGACUCUGUUCCACAGAUGGGCUCCGAAAACACUUCGUUUGCCGAAGCAAUAGGCAACACACUGACAAAAAGACCAUCAUCAUGGAGAAGCUCAGUGAUGGCUGCUGUCUAUAGACCAGAGUUAAUGCUGGGAGAUUUGGGCUCCUAAUAACAGUAAGGAUGAUUAGAUAUCAAAAAUAGAGGCCAGGUUUCAGCGUUUAACUGUGAGAAGCAAAGGAUGUGCAAUUAUCAUAGUAACAAUAGGAAUGAUAAGAUCUCAAUAAGAAUAGGGAUGAUAAAAUCUCAGAAAUAGAGGCCAGGUUUCAGGAUUUAACUGUGAAAAGCAAGGCUGGCACAAUUAUUAUAGUAAAUUAUUAUUAUAUGACACAAGGUUCCAUUUCUUCCUGGUUGGAACUCAACCUUGGUGGAAUAGCCCCGUCUGGGUUUAGAAAAGCCCAAUCUGCUAUGGAGAUGAUGUAAUGUCCCCAGAAGGUCAAAUACGCAGGUCAAGGAACCCAGGGGUUUGUGUAGGAAUAGCCCCUUUAUCAUCACUCUCAGUUAUUCACUUGGGGAAUUUGUGUUUCAUUUUCACAGCCCUGGUUUCUAGAGGUUUAGCAGUGUUGGCUCACAGGGAGAAAAUGCUUCAACCAAGGGACACAGCAAGAAUCCCAUUAAAUGUUAAGCCACAUCUUUCUCUGUAGUCCUUUCAGGCUCCUGGCAGGAGUAAUUGAUCCUGACCAUCAGGAAGAGGUAGCACUGGUGUUACACAGUGGGGGCAGGGAAGAAUAUGUUUGGCACCCAGGUGAUCCAUUUGAGUGUUUCUUGAUACUUUUUGCCCAGUAUUGAUGGUAAGUAGGUAAGUGUAGCAGUCACUGCCUGAGAAAGGCAGAGGAACAAGAGUUCAAAUCCCUCAGAUAUGAAGGUCUGGGUCACCCUCACCAGGUAAGCUAUCUGAACCUGCAGAGGCAGUAGCUGAGACUGAGGGGAGUGAUAGGAGAUGAAGAAGAUGCUGAGUAUCUGGUUUGUCCUUGGAACCAGGUACAGGCAACACAUUAGUUUACAGCAUUAACCUUCCUCUUUUAAGUUUCUCUAGAAAAAGAGGUCCACUAGAAUCCUGAAAGAUCUGCUUUCAGGACACACACCAAAGGACUGGGUCUGAGCCACAUGAGGUAUGGACUGGUGUAGAUGCUGUGGUGCCCCAGCCAAAUUCUGUCUCCCCACUCCCAGGACCAAAGCACUCAUUCCCCCAGCUACUAAGAGUGUUGGCAAUUGAUAGCGUAUGGCUGAGUCCAGUCCCAGAGGCUGCCCUCAGCUGAAGAGAGUUGCCUUGCUCAAUGCCACAUACCUUCCUUAAGGGCAGCCCUGAGCCUAAUGGGUCAUUGCUGCGCGGUCAUAAAAGCUCAGCCCCAUUGCCCCAGUUAGGAACAAUGCUUUAGGGCCCUUCGAACACCAGAGCUCUCUAUGGAAUGGGAUGAGGGCUUUUUUGUGACUGCAUCACAGCCCAACUCCACUCUGUGCUCAGUCCUAUUCCUUUGCUUCCUCCACAGGUCCCAGUUCUGAGAGCCCUCCCGAGUGCGUUUUCGGCAUGCUAAUCUUUUCCUCAGAGUCUAUGUUCUGGAGAACAGGGAGGCAAUACAAAGCAACCCUCAGUUCCAAACAACAAUAAAUUUCAAGCUGGAUAAUA